AGUGAACGCUGGCGGUAGGCCUAACACAUGCAAGUCGAACGGCAGCACAGUAAGAGCUUGCUCUUACGGGUGGCGAGUGGCGGACGGGUGAGGAAUACAUCGGAAUCUACUUUUUCGUGGGGGAUAACGUAGGGAAACUUACGCUAAUACCGCAUACGACCUACGGGUGAAAGCAGGGGAUCUUCGGACCUUGCGCGAUUGAAUGAGCCGAUGUCGGAUUAGCUAGUUGGCGGGGUAAAGGCCCACCAAGGCGACGAUCCGUAGCUGGUCUGAGAGGAUGAUCAGGCAAAAUUGAAGUGAGACAAGGGCCAGACCUCGACGGGAGGGAGGAGGUGGGAAUAUUUGGCAAUGGGCGGAAGCCUGAUCCAGCCAAACCGCGUGGGUGAAGAAGGGCUUCGGGUUGUAAAACCCUUUUGUUUGGGAAGAAAAGCAGCAGGUUAAUACCCCGCUGUUCUGACGGUACCCAAAGAAUAAGCACCGGCUAACUUCGUG
rnacentral:rRNA from 1 species